CAAGCGUUGUUCGGAAUUACUGGGCGUAAAGGGCUCGUAGGCGGCCAACUAAGUCCGACGUGAAAUCCCCAGGCUUAACCUGGGAACUGCGUCGGAUACUGGAUGGCUUGAAUUCGGGAGAGGGAUGCAGAAUUCCAGGUGUAGCGGUGAAAUGCGUAGAUAUCUGGAGGAAUACCGGUGGCGAAGGCGGCAUCCUGGACCGACAUUGACGCUGAUGAGCGAAAGCUAGGGGAGCAAACGGG
rnacentral:rRNA from 1 species